AAUAUACUCCCUCCGUCCCAUUUUUUUAUCUUAGAUUUGUUUAUAUAUGAAUGUAUCUAGUCAAAUUUUAAUAUUUAGAUACAUCCAUUUCUANNNAAAGCUAAGACAAGAAUUUUGGGACGAAGGGAGUAGUUG
rfam:Hordeum vulgare subsp. vulgare, WGS project CAJW01000000 data, contig: morex_contig_369446